AUAACCCCGGGAAACUGGGGAUAAUACCCCAUAGUCUAUGGAAGCUGGAAUGCUCCAUAGUCGAAAGAUUUAUCGCCUUAGGAUGGGUCUGCGGCCGAUUAGGUAGUUGUUGGGGUAACGGCCCAACAAGCCUUUGAUCGGUACGGGUUGUGGGAGCAAGAGCCCGGAGAUGGAUUCUGAGACACGAAUCCAGGCCCUACGGGGCGCAGCAGGCGCGAAAACUUUACAAUGCGGGAAACCGUGAUAAGGGAACUCCGAGUGCCCGUAAACGCGGGCUGUCCAUCUGCUUAAAAAACAGGUGAAGAAAGGGCCGGGCAAGACCGGUGCCAGCCGCCGCGGUAAUACCGGCGGCUCGAGUGGUGGCCACUAUUACUGGGCUUAAAGCGUCCGUAGCUUGGUUGUUAAGUCUCUUGGGAAAUCUGUCGGCUUAACCGACAGGCGUUUAAGGGAUACUGGCAACCUAGGGACCGGGAGAGGUGAGAGGUACUUCAGGGGUAGGAGUGAAAUCCUGUAAUCCUUGGGGGACCACCUGUGGCGUAGGCGUCUCACCAGAACGGCUCCGACAGUGAGGGACGAAAGCUGGGGGAGCAAACCGGAUUAGAUACCCGGGUAGUCCCAGCCGUAAACGAUGCGCGUUAGGUGUAUCGGUGACCACGAGUCACCGAGGUGCCGAAGGGAAACCGUGAAACGUGCCGCCUGGGAAGUACGGUCGCAAGGCUGAAACUUAA
rnacentral:rRNA from 1 species